rnacentral:rRNA from 1 species
UACGUAGGGUGCAAGCGUUAAUCGGAAUUACUGGGCGUAAAGCGUGCGCAGGCGGUUGUGUAAGUCUGACGUGAAAUCCCCGGGCUUAACCUGGGAAUGGCGUUGGAGACUGCACGGCUAGAGUGUGUCAGAGGGGGGGUAGAAUUCCACGUGUAGCAGUGAAAUGCGUAGAUAUGUGGAGGAAUACCGAUGGCGAAGGCGGCCCCCCUGGGAUAACACUGACGCUCAUGCACGAAAGCGUGGGGAGCAAACAGG